rnacentral:lncRNA from 1 species
CUUUUUUUUUUUUUUUUUUUUUUUUUUUUUUUUUUUUUUUUUUUUUUUUUUUUUUUUUUUUUUUUUUUUUUUUUUUUUUUUUUUUUUUUUUUUUUUUUUUUUUUUUUUUUUUUUUUUUUUUUUUUUUUUUUUUUUUUUUUUUUUUUUUUUUUUUUUUUUUUUUUUUUUUUUUUUUUUUUUUUAUUUUUUUUCUUUUUUUUUUAUUGUCUGUUUUUUUCUUUUAUCCUGUUUUUCUUCCUUUUCAAGAUCUUGAAAAGAGAGAGAAAAUGAGAGAGAGAGAAUGAGAAAGAGAAAACGAGGGAAAGAGAAUGAGAGCAAGAGAGAGAGAGAGGAGGAGAAAUUUUUGGAGUUUUUUUAUUUUUAGUGGCUUUGAUAUUGAAAAUACUAUAUAAAGAAUUUUAGAUGAAAUCAGUCAGUUGAUACAAUUAUUGUUGUUAUGUGCUAUUAUCGUAUGAUAAGCGGGUGGGGCUUUUCUUGUUUUCGUAAACAUCAAGAUUUUAUUGGUUGGGUCUAUGAUUCCAGCCUACAUGAUACUCAAAAGGGCCCUGGUUCAUCUGGAAAUGAAAAGUGCUUUAUGAACGUUUGGAUUGGUGCUUCCUUGACUCGGUUUGGUAACUUCAAUUUCUACCCACCUAUAUCGUGUUAAGUCGGAUCACCGACCUAUUUUCAUGGUUGCGACCAAGCUCAAGAAGUCAAAUCUUCCUCAUACCUUUCGCUUUAUGGCUUCAUGGUUGUCACAUGUUGAGUUUAAGCCUUUUUUUGUCGGAAUGGAAUCGGUCUUUUACCUUUAUUCAUCAGAUGUCCAUUCGAGCUACCAAACUGAAAAAAUGAAAUAAGGAAAUUUUUGGCAACAUCCAAACGAAUAGAAGGAGCUUAUCUUUAAACUUGCUGAUGUUUAAGCUCUCGCAGCUCCUCUACUCAUUCAAGACACCACAAUGGACAUUGCAAGUGACCGGAAUACUCAUUUUUUUCACGUAUCCACCUUCCGUAGGCGUGCUCGGAACCACAUUAUUAAGUGAAGGAUGACUGUGGGGUGUGUAUUCAUUAGGUUUGGGAGUCGGUUAAUUUGGUUAAUAACCAUCGGUUAAUGGUCGGGAAGCGCUUUGAUGAUUGAAAUUAAUUAACCAAAUUAACCGACCGAGCAAAAGCCACGGUUAAUCUUACCGACCGAUAACCGACCAAUCAGUUAAAUGAUCGAUUAUUAACAGACUGACUCUCGGUUAACCGUUGUAACCGGCUCUGACCAAUUUAACUCUCUUCUCAUAUUGCAACAAGAUUCUAGGCUCUGGCUCUAGAUCCGUCGUCGAUUCAAGCCUUGGAGACCAUAGCUUCUCUUCUGGAAACAAUCCGGUGCUCUACAACUUGAUCCUUCGGGACUGGAAGCUUUCCGAGACGGCGUUGUUGCGGAUCAGUAAGGAGAGGAGGAAGCUUCAAGCCUAUGGUGUUGCAGAUCGAAGAAUUGAGAGAGUGGAGGAGGAGAGGAUUGGCCGUGGCGACGAAGGAAGCAUGUGGUGUUGCAGAUCGAAGAAUCGAGAGAGUGGAGGAGGAGAGGAGCGCUUGCGGUGACUCGUCGUGGUCGUCGUCGUGACUGCCGGCGAGAUGCUGAAAUUGAAUCGCUUGGAUUGAUAGAGUUGUCGAGAUGGAUUGAUGGAGUUGUCGAGAUGGAUUGAUGGAGAUGGCUCGGAGUUAACCUAAUUUCAGAAUGAGAGGUUGUGAUGGAGUGGGAGGCUGGGAGGGGAGGGAGCGAUUCUGCGAUUGUGGUGAGCAAAGCUUGAUUUCCUAAUUGGGGACCUUGGUUUUUUUAAUUACCGGUUAACGUUGGUUAACUCGAGUUAACCAACGAUUUUACCCUGCUCCAACAAGUACUCCCAACUGUUCCCCGACCGACCCCUACCUCGGUUAAACCGACACUCUAACCGAGUCGAUCAGUUCAUCUGUUUAACCUAUUAACCGAGACUGAUGGCCCACCCUUAGUAUUCAUCCAGCUUGUUGCUGCAAUUAGUGUCGUAUUGAUAUGGUUGAGAGAGGAUAAAAUAUGCUUGAUUUCAAGUUCUCCAACUUGAAAGGUUUAGCUGUUAAAAAUGUAGAGGUCAUGACUGAGUACUGAUUUCCAGCAAGGAGAAGUUGGAUAUUUGCUUGCGAUAAAAAAGAAUUUGGACAGUCUAUCUUAGGCACAAAAUCUAACGGAUGAGAUGGCAACUUUACUUCAGGGGCCUAUUGGUCAUUUUAAAAUUUUCUUGUUUUUCAGUUUAUUUUUCCAUUCUGUUUAAUAUUGGUUCAAGUAAAAUGAUUUCUUGUAAAUUGGGUCUAUUGAGUAACGUGGGUGGGUAGACUUUAUUGCUCCCAUCGAGCUUGACGUGAUAUUUUCUUCUUCGUUUCUUUAACAUGCAUAAAUUGUAUAUAAUACGAAAGGUUGGAAAUAUAUGUGAAGCUCGAGGUUUAUUAUAUAUGUUUCGAGGUUUAUUAUAUAUGUUGAACCUUUUUGCCAAUUGGUUAUUUUUAUCAUGUAGUGCCUUAUCAAGUAAAGGGAAUGGUUGUUUUUAUCUACUGUCACUAGCCAACUUUCUUUCUCAUGUGAUCAAUUAUUUGAUCACGCAUGAAUGACUACAGUACACAAAAGAUAGAAAUAUUAUAAAAACAAAAAACAAAUAUUAAAAAAAAAUACCUAAAAAGCAGGUACAUAACAACAAAAACAAUAACCGUAAAUAUCAAGUACAUGAAAGCGGAUGCUCAAAAUAAGCACGCACACAUUAAAAACUUUGGUACAUACAAGGCAAGAAAAUCGAGAACAUAUUGGAACUCGAGUACCGGAAUUGGUACGGUAUUAAGUACAACGUGAAGAAAUAUCAAGUACAUUAAAAAGCGAGUAUAUAACAAUAGAAAUAAGUACACGAAAACAACUCAGAGAAAUGAUAAUUUGAUUGCCAAAAUUGAGUAUGAUAAAGUAAAAUGCAAGCACGUAGUACAUGAAACAAAUAUGAGUAAGAGUACAUAAAUUUUUUAGUACAAUACAAGACAAAAACUCAAAUACAUAUAAAAACUGGACACUAAAAAAAAUAAUUAAUUAUUCACAAUUUUAAAUAAUAAUAGUCACGAUUUUUAUCAUGAUUAACAGAAGCUAGUCACGAAAAUAAAUCCGUAACUAACCUAACCGAUGCUAGAUGAACUUGUCACGAAUCUGAAUAACCUGUAACUAAGUUGUCACCGAAAUUUUCCGUGACCAACUCAUCACGGAAGAAACCGUGAACAUAUGUGUUUUUGUUUUU